rnacentral:misc_RNA from 1 species
UUUCCGUAGGUGAGCCUGCGGAAGGAUCAUUAUUGUAUAAUCGAGGUGCGGGUGCUGUCGCUGACUCGUAAGGUCGUGCACGCCCGAGUGCCCUCACACACAUCCAUCACCCCCGCAUGUUCUCCACCGCGGGGGUCCCCCUUUGGCUUGUUCGGAGGGGUGCUUACUUAUUCACACACACUUUGUAUGCAGUGUAGAAUGUAUUGUUUGUUUUCGCGAUCACGCAAUCAAUACAACUUUCAACAACGGAUCUCUUGGCUCUC